UACGAAGGGUGCAAGCGUUACUCGGAAUUACUGGGCGUAAAGCGUGCGUAGGCGGUUUGUUAAGUCUGAUGUGAAAGCCCUGGGCUCAACCUGGGAAUGGCAUUGGAUACUGGCAACCUAGAAUGUGGUAGAGGGUGGCGGAAUUCCCGGUGUAGCAGUGAAAUGCGUAGAUAUCGGGAGGAACACCUGUGGCGAAGGCGACCCCCUGGUUGGAUACUGACGCUGAGACGCGAAAGCGUGGGGAGCAAACAGG
rnacentral:rRNA from 1 species